AUGAAGCAGAAUUUAAUUUUUUUGCUGCACUUUCUCAGUAAGACUUAAUCCCUCCCCCUAAAUACAGCAUCUCAUUGCAAUGUGGUAGCGUGUGGAUUUCCUCUGUGCUUUAUUGCUUCUGCAGCAAGAAGCCAGAGUCCUGCUUCUCGCAUGUAACUCAGCUUUGUAAUUUAUCAUCAGCUCCCACUGCUCUGGAUGCAGUCACGCCACGUGAUGUGGAUUUUCCAGACCACUCUAUUGGGAAGUAUAGCAAAUAUCUGGAAUAGGAACAGUUGGGGUUGAACUACAUGGCAGACUUUGCUCUGACAGAUUUGUCUGUGCCACAAACGACAGAUUAAGAUUUUAUGGGCUGGUACAAAUGAAAUGCUGUCAUGGAAAAUCUGAUGAGAUAAAAGGGGAUGUUCUCUUGUUGUUAAGUAUAUAUUACAGCAUGUGUGUGAAGAAAAUGCAGCAAACAUGGGCAUCUUAAGCCAUUGUUCUUGGUUAUCGAGAAAAGAGCCACCUCAGAUGAGGCUGAAAGACAGAAAUCACAAGUUCCCCAGGCAUAUUGGUUCGAGAGCUGUGGGAACUACUUAGGUUCUCUUGAUUUCUGGAUCAACUAGAACAGCACAGUCCAACUUUGAUUUAUCUCGACAGACAUAGAAGAAGACUCCCCCCUCACUCACUGAGAGGAUAUGAUGAUACUGAUACUACACCUCUUCCAUUGGCAGGUAGCGGUGGCAAUAAUAUCAGAAUAGUAAGAUUACCUGAAUAAGUAAAGUAUCAGAAGUGUGGUUCUAUGUUUAAAGCUUUUAUGAUCUUUCUUGCUAGUUUAAUCAAAUGGUAAAAGCCAUUCCCUGUAGUCUUGGGGCCUUUUCAUCUGUGUAAAAGUAACUUUGUAUCGGUCUUGUUAUCCAGAAUGCAUGGGACCUGGGGCUUUCCGGAUAACUGAUCUUUCUGUACCUA